rnacentral:rRNA from 1 species
UACAGAGGUGGCAAGCGUUGUUCGGAAUUACUGGGCGUAAAAGGCGCGUAGGCGGUCCGAUAAGUCCUGUGUGAAAUCCCUCGGCUCAACUGAGGAACUGCACGGGAGACUGCCGGGCUUGAGUUCGGGAGAGGGAAGCGGAAUUCCGGGUGUAGCGGUGAAAUGCGUAGAUAUCCGGAGGAACACCGGUGGCGAAGGCGGGUCUCUGGGCCGAAACUGACGCUGAGGAGCGAAAGCGUGGGGAGCGAACAGG